CGGGACCUCAGGUCAGGCGGGGCUACCCGCUGAGUUUAAGCA
rnacentral:rRNA from 1 species